rnacentral:ncRNA from 1 species
AAAAAGUUUUUAUUUGGCUUAAAAAUUAGUUAAAGUUUAAUUUUACAUGUAAGUUUAGGCGUGAUUUUUAGUUAUUUAAAUUAAUAUACUAAUUUAUUUAUUUCGCAGUAAGGAAAUUUAAUUAUAAGUGAAAACUUGAUUUAGUUAUAAUUUUCAAUGUUAACAAAAUUUGUGCCAGCAGUUGCGGUUACACGGAUAACAUAAAUUAAUUUUUUUUAAAAUUAGAUUUUUAUACAUUAUAAUUUUUAAUAAAUACUUAUAGGGUGAAAUCUUAAGCUUUUUAAAAAAAAUUUUUUUGAUAAAUUAUCUAGGAAAUUAAAAAUUUAAACUAGGAUUAGAUACCCUAUUAUUUUUAAUGUAAUUUUUAUUUGGAUUAGUAAUAGUUAUGUUCUCGAAAAUUAAAAAUUUUGGCGGUAUUUUAUUCUUUUCAGAGGAACCUGUCUGUUAAUCGAUGAUCCACGAUUUAUUGUACUUUUUCUUAGUUUACAUAUCGUCGUAGUUUAAAUAUUUUUGGAGAAAAUUAAUAUUUAAAAUCUUAUUAGAGAGUAAAUCAGAUCAAGGUGUAGCGUAUGUAGAAGAAAAAGAUGGGUUACGUUAAAUUUAUUUUUUGAUUAUUAUAUGAAAAAUAAUAUGAAUAAGGAUUUGAUUGUAAUUAAAAUUAAUUAAUUAUAGUGAUUUUGGCUCUAAAAUAUGCACAUAUCGCCCGUCGCUUUCACUUUAAGGUGGAAUAAGUCGUAACAAAGUAGGCUUACUGGAAAGUGAGCCUAGAAAGAA